rnacentral:lncRNA from 1 species
AGCUAUUUGGACUUCAAUUAUUAAUGAAAUUAGUGUCCUAAAUGUCAGCAAGAGCAUUGCCUUAGGUAAAAGCUGUAAAGGAAAUCAUAUUAGUGUGGAAUUUCCUCUCCUCAGGGGCUCCUCUUAUAUUACAUUAUUCACUUAGCUAUCUCCUAUCAGGAAGAUGGAACUGUUGGCCAUCAUCUGAUCCUGGGGCAGAACCAAGUAGAGACGUUAAGGGGGUUCAUGAUAGCAUCAAUUCCAAAACCUUUGUGUGGUGCUGGUAUUGCCUUGGUCCAAUUCAGAGUUCACAAAACAGCACCAGUAAGGACAGCACAAACUGGCAAACGGAACAGAGUGGAGAGGAACCCUGUCAUGAAAAGUUGAGUGGCGUUUCAUCCAGUUGGCAAGUUUGCACUUCUCCUCUUUGGGACCUGCCCAAGAACACUGGCAAGUGUGAUGGCUCUUCUGUGGCCCUGCAUCCUAGUGGCUGCCAGAGUACUGGGGAUCAAACUCAAGAUCUUGUGCCUGCAAUCCAGGCAUGGUGCCACUGA